rnacentral:rRNA from 1 species
CCUACGGGUGGCAGCAGUGAGGAAUAUUGGUCAAUGGGCGCAAGCCUGAACCAGCCAAGUAGCGUGAAGGAAGACGGUCCUAUGGGUUGUAAACCUCUUUUGUCGGGGAGCAAAACGCGCCACGCGUAGCGUUCCGAGAGUACCGUAUGAAAAAGCAUCGGCUAACUCCGUGCCAGCAGCCGCGGUAAUACGGAAGGUGCGGGCGUUAUCCGGAUUUAUUGGGUUUAAAGGGUGCGCAGGCCGUCUGUUAAGUCAGCUGUGAAAGGCCCGGGCUCAACCCCGGCCCUGCAGUUGGAACUGGCAGUCUCGAGUUGGAGAGAAGCAUGCGGAAUGCGCGGUGUAGCGGUGAAAUGCAUAGAUAUCGCGCAGAACCCCGAUUGCGAAGGCAGCAUGCUGGCUCCACACUGACGCUGAGGCUCGAAAGCGUGGGUAUCGAACAGGAUUAGAUACCCGAGUAGUC